rnacentral:lncRNA from 1 species
GAUGUUCAAGUUUGUGAAACAGGCUUUCCCUUUAAGAUUUGUUUUCCUCAAAAUACAAGACUAUUGAUGCUUCAGUUUUGAAGUGGAUUCUGCACUCAAGAAAUGUACCAUUGAAGAAUGGGACUGGUAGGAAGGGAAAAAAACUAAAAGGAAACGCAUUUUCGAGUUGCACAUCAUGAUCAGGCACAGAGUCCAGAUACACUUGGAGUAGCAAGCAUCCAUCCUUGUGGAGACGCACAUGAACCAGGACUCUCUGCACCCACCCCUCUCAAGUUUUAUUUUCCGACGGCUGUAAUGUUCCAGGACACCUGCCAUCAUGGAGGGUUAUCCAGCACCUGGAGGAUACCUGCUACCUAUUUUGUGAACAAUUUGGCAUGAGGAGAGAAAGGAACCUGAAGUUUUUAGCAAGGAAGGGCCCUGAUGAUGGUUGCCUUCAACAUUGCCUCAAUACUCAACAUCCAAGACAGCCCUGGCUUAGCAACUGGAAUCACGGAUGGGGAAAAUUUUUUCUCAAGCACAUGUGAAAUUUGGCUGUCAGACCACCUUCAUCUGCACAGAAAGCUAAAUGUAUUGCCUAGUUUUGCAACUUCAUAUGACUGUUCGCCAAACUGGAAUAAUUGUUGCAUUUGUGUGUGACUUCUCAGUAUUCCUAUGGCAUUACCACCAUAGCACCCCUAUGUCAAAUGGUGAAAGAAUUAGGUGAGGUUUUGUGAACGUUUAGAGUAACUUUGUUUUUUUGCAUCAACAUUCAAGAAGCACUCCUUCCCUUCCACUGCAGUAGAACCUUGAGGUCCCUCUCAGAUUUCUGUGGGGUGUCUGUGGUCUGCUGGAGCAUGGCCAGGUCUGGGCAGCUGUCACUUUCCUUCUGCUUCCCAGUACAGAGGCCUAUCUGGUGCUCAGAAAAGCUUCCUAAGUAAGAAUGCAGGUGUCUCACAUUAAGAAGGGAACCUUCUGUCCAUCUCCAGCUUAAGUAUCAACGUAUCCAGCAGCCUCAAGUCUAUCCAAACCUUAUUCAUUUUUCCCCACUUUGUUUUCAUAAUUUGACCACAGAACUGAGCGUCAAGUAUAUAUGAACCCAAGUUGUUUGUUCUCUUGUAGUUUGUUUUAGUGUUGUUCUUUCAGAUUAUAAUCUCAGGGCAGGAGUUCUGUCAAAAUUCUCACUUGAUCUUAAAAAGCCAAUUACAGGGCAAGAUGAAAAGUGGCUUCUUAGUAAACAUUUGCUAGCUUGAUACCUGACUCCACUCCUGCCUAUUAAAAGCAUUUCGCUUGAAAGUAUGCAAUGGUUAGAAGCAUCUAGAAAGUCGAGGUCUGAUGAUUUCACACACAUAUUUUGGGGUGCUAAAUUAAAGCUCUCCUUUGUAAAACAGUGCAUGAUGUCUUGGUGCUCUCAGGAUUGAAUGGUGAACAUACUGGCAGAGGCAAUUUCAGAUCCAAGUGAAAGACAGUUUUCACCUGGUGGUAAGGGUAGAUGUGUACUGAAACAACAAUCUAGGGCCGUCUUCUUUGUACCACAAGCUUAAUAAUUUGUAUGGCUAUGCUGUCUUCUUAGCUGCUUGCUGGUGGUGAAAAUCAGUUAUUUUCACUGGCUGAUUGACAGUUGGCCAGCACUGACCCUUCUGAAGACCUGUAUUUAUUUCUUGGAGGGGGUACCCUUGGUUUUAUUUUAUUCCUUUUGCGCCCUCACCCUACUUCAUGCCUUGCUGGGAAUAGGAACAGUGGUGCAGACUUAAGAGAAGAGGCCAAGGAAGAGCAAGUGAAAUCUGCUGGUCACCGUAGAUUUAAGCCCUUAGGAGACAGGGUUGUGUUUCUCCUCCUGGCAGAGUUGCAAUGAGACAAUGUCUAUCAAAUACAAGAAGAGUGGCUGAGUUCAAGGAGGGGUAGAAAUCUGUCAAUGAAAAAUUCUAUAUCACAUUGAAGUUUGGUCAUAGAAGGUAGCUUCUGGUGUUCUGCCCCCUAACCAUGGCAUGCCAUGAUUUAGUCCGUAAUGGACACAGCUUAGUGGAGUUUGUUUCAUCUCCAAACUUCACUCAUUGUUUAAAGAUACUGGCUAGGUGUCAGCACAGCCUGGGCCAGGGAGAGACGAUGGCCCAUUAGUCAUCAUCUGUCAUGCCUAUGGACUGUAGGGACCAGAGCAUUUACACUCAGAAUCACAGAGAUAAUUAGCACAUUGAUGUCAUUGUUCCUAACCACUGAGGCCAUUGAUCCUGUCCCCAGCCUGACUUGAAGGUCUUUGGGAGUUCAGCCAGCCUCCCAACCUGCCUACCACUUUGUUCUAAGAAUCCUACUCAACAGUGGCUUGCAUUUUCUGCUUCUAAGUGGCUUUGCGAUUAUGUAGAAAUUCAUGACGUGAUUUUGUCCUGAUUGAAUAAAGUGCAU